rnacentral:rRNA from 1 species
ACGGGAGGCAGCAGUGGGGAAUAUUGCACAAUGGGGGAAACCCUGAUGCAGCGACGCCGCGUGAGUGAAGAAGUAUUUCGGUAUGUAAAGCUCUAUCAGUAGGGAAGAAAAUGACGGUACCUAACUAAGAAGCCCCGGCUAACUACGUGCCAGCAGCCGCGGUAGUACGUAGGGGGCAAGCGUUAUCCGGAUUUACUGGGUGUAAAGGGAGCGCAGACGGCAAAGCAAGUCUGAUGUGAAAUGCGGGGGCUCAACCCCUGAACUGCAUUGGAAACUGUUUAGCUAGAGUGCAGGAGAGGUAAGUGGAAUUCCUAGUGUAGCGGUGAAAUGCGUAGAUAUUAGGAGGAACACCGGUGGCGAAGGCGGCUUACUGGACUGUAACUGACGUUGAGGCUCGAAAGCGUGGGGAGCAAACAGGAUUAGAUACCCUGGUA